rnacentral:lncRNA from 1 species
GUGGUGGCAUUCGCGUCUGCGAGCUCCGGAGUGACUUUCCCUUCCUGUGAAGGCAAUCCGGCCCUUUCCGGUGGAGGACCCUUCCCCCUGGGUUGAUCUUGAGGAACUUAAGAGACGGUGUUUUGACUCGACUCCUUUCCCCUUUUUCCUCCCGGUACCAAAGCGGUUUUGUUUGCUGUUUAUACUCUACCCCGUGGAAAGGCGGCUAGCUGGCUAAAGGGUUUUAUGCCUGGGGGAGGAUGAGUCGCUAUUUGGUCGUGACUUGUUUCUGUUUAAAAUUAUUAUUAUUUACCAAAUGAAAAUGUUGUACUUACCAGUCCAAAGUGCGGGGCUUAUAUUGUUAGAAGACCACUUAAAAUGCUCCUGGAUUCUGACAAAUAUUGCAUGAGAAAUUUGCAAUCAGCCGUGAAGCAUGUUUCCCCUUCUGAAAGUUUAACACGUGCCGUAUCUACGGCUGGGAUCUAACACAUCCCAUUCCUACAGGCUGAGAUCCAGACCUUCUUAGAGAGAACACAGCCAGUGGAGAGUCACUCUAUGGCAGGAAAUAUUCUGUAUUGCCUUACAGGCAGAACUUGCUGAAACUCCAACCUCUGGAAAUUACUGGAACCCUGCAUUCUAGAACUUGCUGGAAACCCACCCUCUGGAAUUGGCCUGCUAGAGUGCCUGAGAAGGAUGUUCAUAGGGAAAUGUUUCAGCAGAGGAACUCUACUACAAAAACCACAAGAGGGAGGGUGCCAGGGGAAGUGGCCUGGUGCUAUUGAAACUGCAACACAGAAGCCAGCCACUGGAGAGAGCUGCACAAGCUGCAGGAACACCCUACCCAGUAAGCCGGCCAGAAGGAGGGAGCAAAACCUUUUCUCUCUGCAACAUCUUUCCAGUUUCCUCUACUGGAAAAGCUUCAUUGCCAGCUGACAAAAGGAAAAAUACUUAAAUGGAUCAGAUCCAUUUUCACAGAGCAGUCAAUAAUGGUGAAUUUGGAGAUGAUAAGCAACAAAUUGAUGAACUGGCACAACUUCCCUGCUACUUUCUUGAUUGUAAUGCCUAGAUAGGGAAUAGGAAAGUUAUUGAAAUGUAUGUGUUCCCAUGAAAUGUGUUUAUUUGUUGUUCAAGAUCAAUACUAAUAAAUGGGGACUAAUGUUCUGAAGUAUUUUGGAACAAUUAGAAUCACCACUCUUAACCCUGUGGCCAAAGUCUUAAAUGGACAGGGAGGAAAAUGUUUAUAAACUGAAGCAAAAAUUGAUCUACAUAGAAAAUAAAUCUGGAGUAUUUACUUG